rnacentral:rRNA from 1 species
UACGUAGGGGGCAAGCGUUGUCCGGAUUUACUGGGCGUAAAGAGCGUGUAGGCGGCCAAACAGGUCCGUUGUGAAAACUGGAGGCUUAACCUCCAGACGUCGACGGAAACCGUAUGGCUAGAGUCCGGAAGGGGAGAGUGGAAUUCCUGGUGUAGCGGUGAAAUGCGCAGAUAUCAGGAAGAACACCAAUGGCGAAGGCGGGUUGCUGGGCCGACACUGACGCUGAAGCGCGAAAGCCAGGGGAGCGAACGGG